rnacentral:rRNA from 1 species
UCGGACUGUAGGCUGCAACUCGCCUACACGAAGCUGGAAUCGCUAGUAAUCGCGGAUCAGCAUGCCGCGGUGAAUACGUUCCCGGGCCUUGUACACACCGCCCGUCACACCAUGGGAGUCGGUAACACCCGAAGCCUGUAGUCUAACCGCAAGGAGGACGCAGUCGAAGGUGGGAUUGAUGACUGGGGUGAAGUCGUAACAAGGUAAC